CCAGGUUGCUGAGCAGCCACGGCGAGUCCGAGUCCUCGCUCAGGUCGGGCUCCGACUCCGAGUCAGAGUCGUACUCACUGUUGUCGUCGUCGUCAGCCGCGGGCAGCAGCGGGGGCCCCACGGCUCGGCCGGGCUGCCCCGCUGCUCCGGCACCUCCUGCUCCUCCCUGCCCGCGUCCCGCAGCAGCGCGCCCUUGAUGCCCAUCACGCCGGGCACCUCCAGCUCCGGCUCCAGCUCUCCCUCCGAGCCGGGUGAGCUCGCCUCUUCGAUGG
rnacentral:lncRNA from 1 species